AUGGCUCUCCAGAUCAGCAAGAAGCGAAAGUUCGUCGCCGACGGCGUGUUCCUGGCCGAGCUGAACGAGAUGCUGACCCGCGAGCUCGGGGAGGACGGCUUCGCCGGCGUCGAGAUCCGGGUCACCCCCAUGCGCACCGAGAUCAUCAUCCGCGCCACCCGCACCCAGAACGUCCUCGGCGAGAAGGGCCGGAGGAUAAGGGAGCUGACUUCGGUGGUGCAGAAGCGCUUCAACUUUCCGGACGGCGGUGUGGAGCUCUACGCCGAGAAGGUCCUGAACCGCGGCCUCUGCGCCGUCGCUCAGGCCGAGUCCCUCCGCUACAAGCUGCUCGGUGGCCUCGCCGUCCGAAGAGCAUGCUAUGGUGUACUCCGAUUUGUCAUGGAGAGUGGUGCGAAGGGCUGUGAGGUUAUUGUGAGUGGGAAGCUUAGGGCACAGCGUGCUAAGUCCAUGAAGUUCAAAGAUGGCUAUAUGAUCUCUUCUGGCCAUCCUGUCAACCAGUAUAUUGAUGGAGCUGUGAGGCAUGUUCUUCUGAGACAGGGUGUGCUGGGUAUCAAGGUUAAGAUCAUGCUUGACUGGGAUCCCAAGGGGAAACAAGGACCAUCUACACCUUUGCCUGACCUUGUUACCAUCCACCCUCCUAAGGAUGAGGAUGAGUUCCUGAGACCUCUUGCAGCAGAAAUUGCAGUUGCUUAA
rnacentral:rRNA from 1 species